rnacentral:rRNA from 1 species
GACGAACGCUGGCGGCGUGCUUAAUACAUGCAAGUCAACGACUUUUAGAGUAGCAAUAUUUUAAAAGGAGUGGCGCACGGGUGAGUAACACGUAGGUAAUCUGCCUUCAGGACUGACACAACUCGUCGAAAGACGGGCUAAUAUCAGAUAAUGCAGCGGCUCCGCAUGGAGACAGUUUGUAAAGUACAAGCGCCUGAAGAUGAGCCUGCGGUCCAUUAGCUAGUUGGUAGAGUACAGCCUACCAAGGCAACGAUGGAUAGCUGGUCUGAGAGGAUGAUCAGCCACACUGGAACUGAGACACGGUCCAGA